rnacentral:rRNA from 1 species
UACGUAGGGGGCGAGCGUUAUCCGGAUUUACUGGGUGUAAAGGGAGCGCAGGCGGCGUGGCAAGUCAGAUGUGAAAACCCGGGGCCCAACCCGGGACUGCAUUUGAAACUGCCAUGCUGGAGUGCCGGAGAGGCAAGUGGAAUUCCUAGUGUAGUGGUGAAAUGCGUAGAUAUUAGGAGGAACACCAGUGGCGGAGGCGGCUUGCUGGACGGUAACUGACGCUGAGGCUCGAAAGCGUGGGGAGCAAA